UACGGGGGGGGCAAGCAUUGUUCGGAAUUACUGGGCGUAAAGGGCUCGUAGGCGGCCAACUAAGUCAGACGUGAAAUCCCUCGGCUUAACCGGGGAACUGCGUCUGAUACUGGAUGGCUUGAGAUUGGGAGAGGGAUGCGGAAUUCCAGGUGUAGCGGUGAAAUGCGUAGAUAUUCGCAAGAACACCAGUGGCGAAGGCGGCUCACUGGCCCGAUACUGACGCUGAGGCACGAAAGCGUGGGGAGCAAACAGG
rnacentral:rRNA from 1 species